AACUUAAAGAAGUUAGAUAGAUCUGUAGUCCCAAAGUACUUACAGAGCAAUUUAUUAAGACUUGGGUUCCUGAGAAAGUUUUAUUCUAUUACUCAGUUAUUGUCUUCAAUCUGCCAUUCACUGAAAGGUUUCUUUGGCCUUAAUUCAAUUCUCUAUCUCCUACGCUAUCAGUGUUUUUGUUGAGCACUUUUCUAUCCAGACAGAUAACAGGAUUUGGUGACAGCUUUCAAUUUCAUUACUGCUAAAACUUUUGUAGGUAUACAAUUUCUCUGUGUAGGCUGGUCCCUGACUGUGAUUUAUUUAGCUCAUUAUUUAUUGGCCUGUAAAACUGGCCCAACUCUGCAAAAUAACUCACUAAUUCUUCCCAUGUGAAAACCUCUGAAGAUAUUUAUCAACACACAUUGAUAAAAGAAGUUGUGUUUUUCCUUACUUCUUUAUCAGCAUCAUUGCUUUGCCCAUCUUUGAUGAUGGUAUUAUGAAGAAGGAUUUGCUUCUGAAGUAUAGGUAUGAUUGCUACAAAUAAAAUAUGCCUCCUACAAAUAAACAAAAACCUU
ensembl:lncRNA NCKAP5-IT1 NCKAP5 intronic transcript 1